ACCAUGCAAGUCGAGGGGUAACAGGGAAGCUUGCUUCCGCUGACGACCGGCGCACGGGUGCGUAACGCGUAUGAAACCUGCCUUAUACUGGGGGAUAGCCCGAAGAAAUUCGGAUUAAUACCCCAUAACACUACAAAAUCGCAUGAUUUAGUAGUUAAAACUCCGGUGGUAUAAGAUGGUCAUGCGUGACAUUAGCUAGUUGGUAAGGUAACGGCUUACCAAGGCGACGAUGUCUAGGGGUUCUGAGAGGAAGGUCCCCCACACUGGUACUGAGACACGGACCAGACUCCUACGGGAGGCAGCAGUGAGGAAUAUUGGUCAAUGGACGCAAGUCUGAACCAGCCAUGUCGCGUGCAGGAAGACUGCCCUAUGGGUUGUAAACUGCUUUUAUACGGGAAGAAAUAUAGUUACGUGUAAUUAUUUGCCGGUACCGUAUGAAUAAGCAUCGGCUAACUCCGUGCCAGCAGCCGCGGUAAUACGGAGGAUGCGAGCGUUAUCCGGAUUCAUUGGGUUUAAAGGGUGCGUAGGCGGAAUAUUAAGUCAGGGGUGAAAGUUUGUGGCUCAACCAUAAAAUUGCCUUUGAUACUGGUAUUCUUGAGUACAUUUGAGGUAGGCGGAAUGUGUUGUGUANCGGUGAAAUGCUUAAAUAUAACACAGAACACCGAU
rnacentral:rRNA from 1 species